UUUAUGCCUCUGCAUGAGGCUGCAGAAGAGCAGAGUGAUGCCACACAUGUGGAGCUAAGCUUUCCACCCAGCAGCAUGGGUUUUGCUGGUGAUGCCCCGUGUCUGAGAGGACACAGAAAAGGAUAUCCCAACUAAUCAACUGUAGCAUUAAUGGGACACCGGUGCUGCCGGAGGAGAGGCAGCAGAAGUUUGGAGCAUGUUGGUUGUGUACUUUGUGAACUUCUGCUGCGGAGAAAUGUCAAGGUAACCAGGGAGAACGCUGAUCCUAACUGAUCACUGGAGACACACUUUAAUUUCCCAGGAAAGGAUGUCAAGGAUGUCAUAAUCUUGGCAAGCAGAGAGACAGCACCUAUCACAUAUGGAAUAGCAGCAUCAAAGGGCUGAUGGUCUUUGUCCUUAAGACAGCUGCAGAGCAGUGCCUGUAGCCAGUAUACACAACACCAUGAGUCUGAAGGAGAAGGCUUUUAGAUCAAACCAGCAGCCUUGUGCAUCGCUGCUCUUUCUACAGAAGAACAUUUCUUCUAGAAGAAACUUUCUGAGAGAUGGCAGCCGGCAUCUUAUACUGCCUCUGGUGCACCAAAGACAAAGAAACUUUAAAACUUAAAUAUUAUCUCUGUAGAGCUAACCAGAGAUUUGGAGGCCAAAUAAACCCUUCUCUCUCCUCAUUUUUUUCUGCUAUUCCAUUUUAAUGCCUGUCAGCUUGAUACAAACCCUCACAUAUGUCUGUAGGUGCGUUAUUUGUUUGUUGCUGCUGCUUUAUUAUGCAGCACAAUGGAAAUUCUGCGGGAUGACCUGUUUGUAAGGUUGAUUCACAGUGGGGAAAAAAAAGGUAGGUCCUAUAUUCCACUUUACAACAACUAUCCUCCAGAAUUCAGGCCCAUAUAUCUGAAGGAUUAUGGUGCUGUAAAUGAACUUUUCUGAAGGUACUUUAAUAGUAUUUGUUUUGUCAUAAGCCAACGUUUCAAUAAUGAAAGAGAACCCUGCAUGCACCAAAAGCCCUGGUUAAGAGAGGAGUACAGUUUGCUACAGUUAAUGGGGGGUACGUGGCUAUCAUAUAAGUUUAUUAAAUCACAUAAAAUUUAAAUUUACACUAUAGUAUUCCAUGAAAGAUGGAGCACACAAAACCAAUAAGUAUGCCAAUUUAUUUCAUGUAUGAAUUGUAUUGUUGGUUGUGUUAAAGCUGCCAUUUUCAGAAGCAGGAUGAUUUAUGCUAGAACAGUCAUUUCCUGUCUCAGUUAAAUUUUGAAGAAGUUCAUUACAGAUUGGAGAUAAAAUGAAAGUGGUAUCAAUGCUAAUAAAAUGCUGAUAUAACAUUGUGUAUUGCUGGGAAGGGGGGAA